rnacentral:rRNA from 1 species
CCUACGGGAGGCAGCAGUGGGGAAUAUUGCACAAUGGGGGAAACCCUGAUGCAGCGACGCCGCGUGAGUGAAGAAGUAUUUCGGUAUGUAAAGCUCUAUCAGCAGGGAAGAAAAUGACGGUACCUGACUAAGAAGCCCCGGCUAACUACGUGCCAGCAGCCGCGGUAAUA